UGGGGAAUUUUGCACAAUGGGGGAAACCCUGAUGCAGCGACGCCGCGUGAUUUAGAAGGCCUUCGGGUUGUAAAAAUCCUUUCUAUGGGAAGAAAAUGACAGUACCAUAGGAAUAAGGACCGGCUAAUUACGUGCCAGCAGCCGCGGUAAUACGUAAGGUCCGAGCGUUGUCCGGAAUCAUUGGGCGUAAAGGGUACGUAGGCGGGUAAGCAAGUUAGAAGUGAAAUCCUGUAGCUCAACUACAGUAAGCUUUUAAAACUGCUCAUCUUGAGAUAUGGAAGGGAAAGUGGAAUUCCUAGUGUAGCGGUGAAAUGCGCAGAUAUUAGGAGGAAUACCGGUGGCGAAGGCGACUUUCUGGCCAUAAUCUGACGCUGAGGUACGAAAGCGUGGGUAGCAAACAGG
rnacentral:rRNA from 1 species